ACAUUGACAUUUUAAUCAGUAAGGCAGAUGCCCUCCAAGAUGUGGGCGGGCCUUGUCUAAUCAGUUGAAGGCCUCCACUAUUCCACCCACAGUAACCACCCUCCCACACAGGCAGGGCCUCCCUCCUCAUGUGGCAGACAGAAGUCAGGACACUGGGGGCUGGAAACCAACUUAUAAAACUGAAAGGGCCAGGACAGAACUGAUAGCACCCUCCCAGGGAGGUCAGGAGCAGGAGGUGGUGGGCACAGGAAGUUCACCAGCAGCCCAAGGAGCCCUUUCCCCAGAUGUCCAUGGGAUCUGUGUGCUUGGCAGCCAAGAGGGGCUGUGGCCCUUCACGCUGGACUUGGGAUGCCUGGACCCUCUGGCCCUUCUCACACGGGAAGGAGAGGCUGAGGUUGGGGAAUCCACCCCUGUUCUGGGCUGGGAAGCACUUGCAGACCACAGAGAUUUC
rnacentral:antisense_RNA from 1 species